UAAGGAAUAUUGGUCAAUGGAGGCAACUCUGAACCAGCCAUGCCGCGUGCAGGAAGAAGGCCCUAUGGGUCGUAAACUGCUUUUGAACAAGAGAAAACCCCGGUACGUGUACUGGGUUGAUAGUAUUGUUAGAAUAAGCAUCGGCUAACUUCGUGCCAGCAGCCGCGGUAAGACGAAGGAUGCAAGCGUUAUCCGGAUUCAUUGGGUUUAAAGGGUGCGUAGGCGGACUGAUAAGUCAGUGGUGAAAUCUCUCGGCUUAACCGAGAAACUGCCAUUGAUACUGUUAGUCUAGAGUACAGAUGAUGUGGGCGGAAUAUGACAUGUAGUGGUGAAAUACUUAGAUAUGUCAUAGAACACCGAUUGCGAAGGCAGCUCACAAAACUGUAACUGACGCUGAGGCACGAAAGUGCGGGGAUCAAACAGGAUUAGAUACCCCUGUAGUCCCUGAGCGGGCUGGCAAGGCGCAU
rnacentral:rRNA from 1 species